UUGGAGGGCAAGUCUGGUGCCAGCAGCCGCGGUAAUUCCAGCUCCAAUAGCGUAUAUUAAAGUUGUUGCAGUUAAAAAGCUCGUAGUUGAAUUUCGGGGUCAGUAGGUCGGUCGUGCCACUGGUAUGAACUGGUUUUACUGAUUCCUCCCUCUUGAAGAACUGUAAUGCCAUUAAUUUGGUGUUGCAGGGAAUCAGGACUGUUACUUUGAAAAAAUUAGAGUGUUUAAAGCAGGCUUUAGCUUGAAUACAUUAGCAUGGAAUAAUGAAAUAGGACGUUUGAUCCUAUUUUGUUGGUUUCUAGGAUUGACGUAAUGAUUAAUAGGGAUAGUUGGGGGCAUUAGUAUUCAAUUGUCAGAGGUGAAAUUCUUGGAUUCAUUGAAGACUAACUACUGCGAAAGCAUUUGCCAAGGAUGUUUUCAUUAAUCAAGAACGAAAGUUAGGGGAUCGAAGACGAUCAGAUACCGUCGUAGUCUUAACCAUAAACUAUGCCGACUAGGGAUCGGAUGAUGUUAAUUUUUUAAUGACUCAUUCGGCGCCUUACGGGAAAC
rnacentral:rRNA from 1 species